rnacentral:lncRNA from 1 species
AUGCACCGUUCACCAUGUUGCAGACUGUGCCACUGGAUUGGCUGCAAUUUGUCCCAAGUUACUGGCCGGAUCUGGGACGGCAAUGACCUUGACGAGGACCCACAGAAAGGCCCGAGUCCUCCCCUCUUUACCUCCCACCCAGAAAGCUCCGCGUUAAAAUUCUACAAAAUACGCUCAGUCAGUCAGUCAACAACCUUUCCCCGGAGGCGAAGACGGGGAGGGAACCCCAGGACUUGCUUUGUGUUUGUUUGUCGGGCACCCGGUCUGGAUGGAGCCUUUUCGACACGCUUUCACUUUCUCCCUCCACAAACCGGCUUGAGAUCCGAGUUUCCGCUCAGCCCGCACACUCGGCCGCCACUGGGUGGCAGCAGGUCCCCGCGGCUCCUGGAAACGGGGACAGAAAGGAAGAAAAAGGCGAAAAGUGGCACAGGAACUCGAGAAGAUGCUCCAAGUUCGUGUCGAUGGCCGGACGCUCAUGUCGUGACGAUGAGGAUGAGGAUGAAAAUCUUUGCACCUCCAACACCAAUCCCGUCGAUUAAUCCUAUUUCUCCUCUUUCUACUCCCUGUGAGCAAAACCCAUAAUUUUCCUCCGUCUCCGUCCUCUGGGUCUGUCAACGCCCCGUCGUAGGGUCCACGCGUCCUUCAUUUGACACCAAAAGCAUCCACAGGGCACUUCCCGUGGAUCCAUUUUAGGUAAAAAAAAAAAAAACCCCAAAACACCCCUCGUUUGCCCCUCUUAGAAAAACCCCUUUUUCUAAACAACCUCAUGCAAACAAGGAGGAAAGAAAGAAGACGGACUGAAGGCCAAAAAAAAAAGAAAAGAAAAGAAAAAAAAAAUCUCGCAGCCGACGCAGCGACCGCAGCGAAAGGAAGUCAUAAAACCCAACUCAUAAACCAGGCGUCCUUUUAUCAAGGCCUCCGACGAAACCCGAGAAGAAAAAUGUUAUUAGGCAAAAAAAAAAAAGAAAAGAAAAAGAAAAAGAAAAAAUUGAAAAAUCAGACCAGAUGCUGUCUUUCCUCCGAAGCCGGAGACGACAAAAAAAAAAAAAAAAAAAAAAAAGCGAGAUCCAGAAAAGAGGGGGAAAAAAAAAAAAAAGUCGAGACGCUUCAGGAAGACAGUUUGAGGAGGAGAAAUGUGGAUUUUUAUGACCUAAUAUCCAAUUGAAGAGGAGAAACGGUGACCGUUCCCAUCAUCGGACGGCCCGGCCCGGCCCCGUUUUCAGACAAAUCUUUUUUGCACACGUCCCGCCGGGCUCGUCCCCGCCCCCAUGUGGGAACCAGACCCCCCCCCCCUCCGCGAGUUUUGCAAGAAUAUUUUAUUAGGGUCGUUUCGGAAAAAGGGCCACACGUCUGUCCCACGGGGUCAGCUACGGGUUUAGGAGCAAAGGGACCCCCCGUUCUCCAUCGUUGGGGUCCUUUGACCUCCGACAGCAGAGGAUCUCAACCUUCCUGAGGUUUCGAAUCCUAUGAAGGCGAUGGAUCUCCC